UACUAGAGUAGCACUCGCAUAUCAAUAGCGGAGGAAAAGAAACUAACAAGGAUUCCCCUAGUAACGGCGAGUGAAGCGGGAAGAGCUCAAAUUUGAAAUCUUAAAGGGUUUCCCUUUACGAAUUGUAGUUUAAAGAAGUGUUUUCUGUUGAGGUUUUGGUAAAAGUUCUUUGGAAUAGGACAUCAUAGAGGGUGAGAAUCCCGUAUUUGACCUUUACUUUCAACUUUGUGAUACACUUUCAAAGAGUCGGAUUGUUUGGGAAUGCAGUCCAAAAUGGGUGGUAAAUUUCAUCUAAAGCUAAAUAUUGGCGAGAGACCGAUAGCGAACAAGUACCGUGAGGGAAAGAUGAAAAGAACUUUGAAAAGAGAGCUAAACAGUACGUGAAAUUGUCAAAAGGGAAGCGUUUGACACCAGUGUUGUUUUUCUGAAAAUCAAUUAAAGAACUGUUUAUGCUAAGCUGUUUAGACUUUAUCAGCUAUCUGUUUAGUUUUAGGCUUUUCUUUAAUGCACUUUUCAGUUAACAAGUCAACAUCAAUUUCUUUUGCUGUAAAAAAGCUUGAGGAAGGUGGCUUGAGAUUCGUCUUAAGUGUUUAUAGCCUCUUGCCUAUGCAGUCGGAGAGAUUGAGGUCUGCAGCGUAGAUCCUUCGGGGCUAAAUGCAUUUGUGCUAAGUUAUAGCAUUUUAUAGACAACUUGUUGACUAUGAUUUGUCUUGUAGCUUACUCGCUUAUGUUAUUUUACCUACGCUUAGGAUGUUGAGCGCAUGUCUCUCUCU
rnacentral:rRNA from 1 species